UGUCACUUAUAGAUGGAUCCGCGCUGCAUUAGCUAGUUGGUAAGGUAACGGCUUACCAAGGCAACGAUGCAUAGCCGACCUGAGAGGGUGAUCGGCCACACUGGAACUGAGACACGGUCCAGACUCCUACGGGAGGCAGCAGUAGGGAAUCUUCCGCAAUGGGCGAAAGCCUGACGGAGCAACGCCGCGUGAGUGAUGAAGGUCUUCGGAUCGUAAAACUCUGUUAUUAGGGAAGAACAUAUGUGUAAGUAACUGUGCACAUCUUGACGGUACCUAAUCAGAAAGCCACGGCUAACUACGUGCCAGCAGCCGCGGUAAUACGUAGGUGGCAAGCGUUAUCCGGAAUUAUUGGGCGUAAAGCGCGCGUAGGCGGUUUUUUAAGUCUGAUGUGAAAGCCCACGGCUCAACCGUGGAGGGUCAUUGGAAACUGGAAAACUUGAGUGCAGAAGAGGAAAGUGGAAUUCCAUGUGUAGCGGUGAAAUGCGCAGAGAUAUGGAGGAACACCAGUGGCGAAGGCGACUUUCUGGUCUGUAACUGACGCUGAUGUGCGAAAGCGUGGGGAUCAAACAGGAUUAGAUACCCUGGUAGUCCACGCCGUAAACGAUGAGUGCUAAGUGUUAGGGGGUUUCCGCCCCUUAGUGCUGCAGCUAACGCAUUAAGCACUCCGCCUGGGGAGUACGACCGCAAGGUUGAAACUCAAAGGAAUUGACGGGGACCCGCACAAGCGGUGGAGCAUGUGGUUUAAUUCGAAGCAACGCGAAGAACCUUACCAAAUCUUGACAUCCUUUGACAACUCUAGAGAUAGAGCCUUCCCCUUCGGGGGACAAAGUGACAGGUGGUGCAUGGUUGUCGUCAGCUCGUGUCGUGAGAUGUUGGGUUAAGUCCCGCAACGAGCGCAACCCUUAAGCUUAGUUGCCAUCAUUAAGUUGGGCACUCUAAGUUGACUGCCGGUGACAAACCGGAGGAAGGUGGGGAUGACGUCAAAUCAUCAUGCCCCUUAUGAUUUGGGCUACACACGUGCUACAAUGGACAAUACAAAGGGCAGCGAAACCGCGAGGUCAAGCAAAUCCCAUAAAGUUGUUCUCAGUUCGGAUUGUAGUCUGCAACUCGACUACAUGAAGCUGGAAUCGCUAGUAAUCGUAGAUCAGCAUGCUACGGUGAAUACGUUCCCGGGUCUUGUACACACCGCCCGUCACACCACGAGAGUUUGUAACACCCGAAGCCGGUGGAGUAACCUUUUAGGAGCUAGCCGUCGAAGGUGGGACAAAUGAUUGGGGUGAAGUCGUAACAAGGUAGCCGUAUCGGAAGGUGCGGCUGGAUCACCUCCUUU
rnacentral:rRNA from 1 species